UACAGAGGUGGCAAGCGUUGUUCGGAAUUACUGGGCGUAAAGGGCGCGUAGGCGGCUUUUUAAGUCAGACGUGAAAUCCCCCGGCUUAACCUGGGAACUGCGUCUGAUACUGGGAAGCUUGAGUUCGGGAGAGGGAUGUAGAAUUCCAGGUGUAGCGGUGAAAUGCGUAGAUAUCUGGAGGAACACCGGUGGCGAAGGCGGCAUCCUGGACCGGUAUUGACGCUGAGGCGCGAAAGCCGGGGGAGCAAACGGG
rnacentral:rRNA from 1 species